rnacentral:lncRNA from 1 species
UCACAUAUAGAGAGUUUGAGAGAUUGUGAAACACUUUGGGGGUAAAAAAUAGGUUUUGUUCUUAGGAAAUUUAAUGAAUAUUUUCUUGUAACUCAUUUGUAAUUUUUUGUAAUAAUUUUUAGAAGUGUAGUGAAUCAAAGAGUUUCUUUCUCACCCAUAGUAGAUCAUUUAAUCAAAUGGGGUAAACAAGUUAUUAUGUUUUUUUUUUGUAUUUUAUCUUUUUUUGGCUAGUUAUGGAUUUUAUUUCACUUUUGGAAGGUUAUCGUGUUGCAUUAGAC